rnacentral:lncRNA from 1 species
AUGAGAAUCAUGCAUUAAGAAACCUAUUCUAUGUUAGAAUUAGCAGCUAACCUUUAGCAGGCUGUUCAAUCCAAGGCCCGUUCAUAAUGUUCAGAAUGCUACACGCCUCACUGUACUCCAAAUCCGGUAGCAGCUUUGGGGUGAGUAUGAAGCACCUACAAAUAAAUAAAUGCAAUUAAACACUUGCAUUUUGUAGGAUCACACACAGGAAACUAUAACUGAUGUUCAUCAAUUGCAUAUAAUUUUACUAAAACAGAACUGUAUAGGAAUGACACUAUAAAUAAACGCCAUCGCAGACGAAGAGGCAAACUUUCUGCUCUUACUGUUGAAGAUUUUUAUACUGCAAUUAGUUUACACAGCUUUUGGGCAAAUGCAACAAAUGUCCCUCCAUCUUAUUAAGCAGCAACGCAGGCUGUAUGAACAGUCAAGGAAGCAUGCCUAUGAAUGCAUUCCAGGAUGCAUCUAUCUUAUCUGCUUGCCAUGUGUACUAAUGUAAUACACAAAAAUAUCCAAGCACAAUAGAAAAUGAACUACUAGAUUAGAUAGUGAUUGUAUAUCGCGAUUAAUAUUUGUGACCACUACCAUGUCAGCUAGAACCGACAUGCUGGUCCAAACCAUGAAAUGGACCAGUUCAAUGGUUCACAGAACCAGCUAUUUGCAUUAAGAUUGUCAGAUAAAUAAAUUCAUUGUUAAUUUCUAUUCAUAUAAAAUUUAUAUUUUGUUGUCAUUCAUUUAUUUU